UUGAGUGCUUUGAUGAGCAGAUGGUGAGAAACGCAGCGCAGAAAGUCGGCUUUGGAGAAGCAAAGUGCCAUCUGAAGGCACCUCAGUGCCACCACCCCGGGAGGACAGCCGAGUGGUCAGAGCAGCAGGGCUUUACAGGCGACUCUCGGGGGCUACGAGACCAACACUCGGCACACGUCAAGAUUACAAAGAGACAGCGGUUUGUAUUACCGGCCGCAGUAAAAGCACAAAAGUAAACGUUUAUGAACAGAAUGUCAGACUUGAAAGAAAAGAGUUCUGUUUCCAUAGCAACAGGCGAGACGUUUUCUACACAAGUCCCCAAACGACGAGUACAUAACAAGGACAAAGACAACAACUCCCAAGUAACUGCCACCCUGACCCCAGGCCCGUCACUACAGGUCACCCGUUUCCACAGAUUUCCGCACUUUGCUUUGCUGUCCCUAAAGUUCAAGAGGACGGUGAAAUGGCAGAAGCCCCACGGAGGGCGCAGGUGGCCAAAGCCAACAGUAUAAACGUCCCAUCCUCGUGGCCUGGGGGCUCAUCAUCAGAGAGGCGUCCCCCCCCCUUGUGACCCCUGCAGGUGGCUUCACUGCUGCAUGUCCCCCCGUCAUCUUCAGCCCCCCCAUCCCGUCCAGUUCCCCAUUUCCUGAGGGACACCUUAAGGAGACGCAGACUGACAAAGGGUCCCUCUAGGAGUGCCACCCGCCGCAGCUCAUUGUUUCUCCGUAUUUUUACCUUUUUGUUCUUUCGUUUCUCUUUGUUAACUUUUUUUUUUUGAUUUAUUAAUUUCUGUAUUGUUUUAUUAUUUUAUUUAUUUUUAUCCAACCCGCCAUAUCCUAACUACAGGGUCACAGGGGUCUGCUGGAGCCAAUCCAGCCAACACAGGGCACAAGGCAGGAGACAAACCCCGGGCAGGGCGCCAGCCCACUGCAGAUGUAUGGUUUGUUUCAUUUUUAUUUAUUAUUGAUUUUUUUAUUCAAUUUUUUACUUAUUUUUUAUUUAUUAUCUUUUUUCCUUUCUCAAACACCAGUAAGGAUUUUUAGACCCCCAGCCCUUCUGUUUAACAUUUUCAAAGUCACUUCACAACCUUCAUGUCACCGUCUGUGUUACGGCCUUUCUGUGACUUUGUCCCUGUGAUGCCAGUCGGUUGUUGUGGGCGUGGCCACACGGGUCACGACCUUGGCGUCACUUCUGUUGGACGGUCAUCUUGAAGGCCACGAUUGUGGAUGCGGUGACCCCCCCCCUUAAUUUAGCGUUUCCAGAACUUCAUGACGUUUGUCGGUGACUUGUCCUCGUUUUCGGUCCCGCAGUGUCUUUUGUUUUUUUUUGUGUCCUGGUCCUCUGACUACAAAGCCCGUCUCUCUUUUGUCUUCCAAGACAGCACCGUGUGCCCUUCGUGCGGAGUCUGUGAGCCGUCGGUGGGUCGGCGGACUGCUGCUGGACCCCAGGACUUCAUCGGACCGAGCGCCGGCACAGUAGGACAACAUGCACGUCAUCUCUGGGGGGCUUUUAUUCAUCACCUCCUCCACCUGUGUACUCACUCUGUGUGUGUGUGUGUGUGUCGUCAUCACGGGGGGCACAUUGGGAUUCGCUGCUUUUACACUUCAGUUAGCGUUUAGUUCUUGUGUUGCUGUGGCUGCAUAUUCACGUGUGUGUGUGUGUGUGUGUGUGCGCCCCCAACUCCUGACACCCCUAAUAAUAUCAAUGAGUGGCUGCUUUAUAAAGUGUGACUUUGAGCCCCCCCACCACCCCUCAUCUUGUGUCUCUGCUCGGUGCCCGUGGCUCCACCGUUGUUCUCGUCCCGUUCAGUCUGCUGCAGUUCAUUUUAUUUCUGUUGCAGUCGGAAGAACAAAAGUGCGCUGAGGAGGGCAAAGGAGAACAAAAAAUAAGAAAGAGGAAGAAGAGGAAGAAGAGUAAAAAAAGGAGGAAGAAAAAAAAGAAAAAACCAAACAGCACUGAAGUGGAGAGCCCUGAAGAUGGGGGCACAGAGGGGGUCCUCCACAACAAAAGGAAACCGAGGAGGAAGAGGAGGAGGAGGAACAAAAAACAAAUGUGGAGAGCAGGUGAAUCUGAUCCGAGAGUGCUGCACUUCUUGUACCGAAGGAUUGUCAUGGGCAGCCAGGAGGAGAAGCCCCAAGAGGCAGGAGGUCCUGAUCAGUGAGAAGAUGGCGAGAAGUGGAGAAGUGGAGACUGGGACUUUGUUUUUUACUGUUCUUUGAUGUUCAUUUUAUAAAGCGCUUGUCCCUGUUUGUGUUUUUUCUAAUUAAAGACAGAAG